GAUGAACGCUGGCGGCGUGCCUAAUACAUGCAAGUCGAGCGAAUCAAAGGGAGCUUGCUCCCUGAGGUUAGCGGCGGACGGGUGAGUAACACGUGGGCAACCUGCCUAUAAGACUGGGAUAACUUCGGGAAACCGGAGCUAAUACCGGAUAAUUCAUAUCUACUCAUGUAGGUAUGCUGAAAGACGGUUUACGCUGUCACUUAUAGAUGGGCCCGCGGCGCAUUAGCUAGUUGGUGAGGUAACGGCUCACCAAGGCAACGAUGCGUAGCCGACCUGAGAGGGUGAUCGGCCACACUGGGACUGAGACACGGCCCAGACUCCUACGGGUGGCUG
rnacentral:rRNA from 1 species